GCCUAGUUAGCUUAGUUGGUGGCGCGUCUGCCUUGUAAGCGCUAGGCCGCGGGUUCGAUUCCCGCCCGGGGC
rnacentral:tRNA from 1 species